AAUGAGAAUAACAUCCUUGGGGACCUUCGGGAUCAGUUUACUCUGAAAAUGCUCAGCCUCACAAAGGGUCAGAGUCACAAGCACAUGAUGCCAAAGAACUGAAUACAAACCCACAGGCUGUUUGGUUUUCACACAUGGACUCAAAUCUGUUUGUGCUUAGACCAAUCUAUGAUGAAAAAUAAAAUCUGUGUUGCUUGA